AACGAACGCUGGCGGCAGGCCUAACACAUGCAAGUCGAACGCUGUAGCAAUACAGAGUGGCAGACGGGUGAGUAACACGUGGGAACGUACCCUUCGGUUCGGAAUAACUCAGGGAAACUUGAGCUAAUACCGGAUACGUCCGAGAGGAGAAAGAUUUAUCGCCGAAGGAUCGGCCCGCGUCUGAUUAGCUUGUUGGUGAGGUAACGGCUCACCAAGGCGACGAUCAGUAGCUGGUCUGAGAGGAUGAUCAGCCACAUUGGGACUGAGACACGGCCCAAACUCCUACGGGAGGCAGCAGUGGGGAAUAUUGGACAAUGGGCGCAAGCCUGAUCCAGCCAUGCCGCGUGAGUGAUGAAGGCCCUAGGGUUGUAAAGCUCUUUCAGGGGGGAAGAUAAUGACUGUACCCCCAGAAGAAGCCCCGGCUAACUCCGUG
rnacentral:rRNA from 1 species